rnacentral:lncRNA from 1 species
UGCUGUAGAGAGGGGAUUUAGGGAGGGGAAGCCAUGGGAGAGCAGGGAAGGAGGAAGAAACGUGAGAAGGAAGAGAGGACCGGUCUGGAUAAGAUGGGAGGGGGGCAACGGGCCAGGGAAAGGGUUGGGCUGGCUGGGCCUUUGAUUUUUUUUUUUAGUGUGUUACAUUCUCCCCUCCUUUAAAGAAUUCGUCCCCGAAUUUAACUACUCAAAGGUAUACCAACUUGAUAAAUUAAAACUUACCGCUCUCAAAGAGUUGUGGGUACUUCUUGCGCAUUUGGUCCUCGAGCUCCCAAGUCGCUUCACGCUCCGACUGAUUACUCCAUAGAACCUUGACAUAUUUGAUGGUCCUCUUUCUCAUGACUCGCUCGGAUGAGUCUAAGAUACGUUCUGGGUGACAUUCCACAAUUAGAUUUGGCUCCAC